GUGAUGGAAGCUGACACGGAGCCGCUCGAAAUCUCCUCGACCUCCCGUCAUGUUUCUUGCGGACGGCAAGAUGACCAAGCCCAAGGAGUAAGCAGCUGCUCAUCACUGAGGACAAGUAACUCCAGCAGGUGAAGUAUGAAGUGUGAAGCCGUGAAGCCUAUCAGCAAGAGUAGCAUAUUAUGUAUUGUAAUAUCAGGCAAAGUGUAAUAUUGGUCA